AACGUAGGUUCCGAGCGUUAUCCGGAUUUACUGGGCGUAAAGAGCGUGUAGGCGGUCCGGUAAGUCCGCUGUGAAAGUCGGGGGCUCAACCCUCGAAUGCCGGUGGAUACUGUCGGGCUAGAGUGCGGAAGAGGCGAGUGGAAUUCCUGGUGUAGCGGUGAAAUGCGCAGAUAUCAGGAGGAACACCUAUUGCGAAGGCAGCUCGCUGGGACGUAACUGACGCUGAGACGCGAAAGCGUGGGGAGCAAACAGG
rnacentral:rRNA from 1 species